AACGAACGCUGGCGGCAGGCCUAACACAUGCAAGUCGAGGGGCAUCACAUGAAGUAGCAAUACGGAUGGUGGCGACCGGCGCACGGGUGAGUAACACGUAUGCAACCUGCCUUCAACAAGGGGAUAACCCGUUGAAAGACGGACUAAUACCCUAUAACACAGGGGUCCCGCAUGGGAAUAUUUGUUAAAGGACAACCGGUUGAAGAUGGGCAUGCGUUCCAUUAGCUAGUUGGCGGGGUAACGGCCCACCAAGGCAACGAUGGAUAGGGGAACUGAGAGGUUUAUCCCCCACACUGGUACUGAGACACGGACCAGACUCCUACGGGAGGCAGCAGUGAGGAAUAUUGGUCAAUGGACGCAAGUCUGAACCAGCCACGUCGCGUGAAGGAAGACGGCCCUACGGGUUGUAAACUGCUUUUGCAGGGGAAUAAAGUGAGCCACGUGUGGUUUUUUGUAUGUACUCUGCGAAUAAGGAUCGGCUAACUCCGUGCCAGCAGCCGCGGUAAAUACUGACU
rnacentral:rRNA from 1 species